GUAGAGUAGGAAACAUGCGUGAAGUGCCGCGCGUAUGGGAGGUUGACCGCGGACGAAGGCCGUUAUCCGGCCGCGAUGUGUUUCCGCAUCCGCUGC
rnacentral:ncRNA from 2 species